rnacentral:rRNA from 1 species
UACAGAGGGUGCAAGCGUUGUUCGGAAUUAUUGGGCGUAAAGCGCGUGUAGGCGGCUAAGUAAGUCGGGCGUGAAAUCCCACGGCUCAACCGUGGAAGUGCACUCGAAACUGCGUAGCUAGAGUCCUGGAGAGGAAGGUGGAAUGCUUGGUGUAGAGGUGAAAUUCGUAGAUAUCAAGCGGAACACCGGUGGCGAAGGCGGCCUUCUGGACAGUGACUGACGCUGAGACGCGAAAGCGUGGGGAGCAAACAGG